AUGCAACCGUCCUGGAGAGGGAAGAAAACGUUUUUCUGCCGGCAGCAGCAGAUGGCAGCAGCGCACAGCGAACCGCAGAGCCGGGCUGGGCUCAGCAGCACCCACCAGCCCUGGGGGGGGGGGGGUUGGAAGCAACAGGUCGGGGGUUUUGUCCUGCUGCAGCUGCUGAGGUUUGGUGAGGCUGGAAAGGGAGGGCUGAGGUGUCUGAAACUGGGUGCUCGGAGCAGAAGGAUCCUUUCCCCUCUUAAAAGUGGAUCUCCAGGGAGAAGGCAAAGAGAGGAACCCACCAGAGCUCCAGAGCGAAGGCAAAUACCCAAAGUGGAUCUGGCAAGGAUCAGAGCCAAGGAGGGAGCACACCACUGCUGCGUCAGAGCCUGCCGCGGCUGGGAUCUGCCCUGCAGGAAGAUCUGGCUCAAUAACUGCUGUACAUAUGCCUCUCUCUGUUGGUAAGGGAUGUCCUCCUAGUUCAACUGGAUACGUGCUGGGAAACACCAGGAACCUGGGCCUAGGUUCACACUGAUUUUAAUUGUUAGCUGUCACAAAUGUCUUGUGUGUGCAGGAUGCAACCUCUUUACAUCAGGAAGAAAAAAAAAAAAAAAAAAAAAAAGCUUUUCAUCAGAGCCCAGCUCACCAUUUCUUCCAGUGCACCUCUCUGGGGUAGCUACAAAGAGUGAACCAACGUUGGUUCGUACCCCAAAGAAUUAUUUGCAUGAUGGAGGCAGGCAGUGCUUUCCUCCAGAUAGGAUUCUUCACAAAUUCUCUGCAGAGAGACUUCCAAAACCAAGGAGGAAUGCCUCAGUCCCUUCACGGCCGGCUGCUUUGCAACCAGCACCACUGACAGGAUGGGACACUUGUAGGAACAAGGCAGAGAGGUAAAUUUUGGAUGGCAUGGAGCAGCUCCUAUGAAGCCCAGCACGCCCUCGAACCCCUCUGGAGCUAGCAGCAAUCAGCAUCUUGGAGAAGCACUCCACACAGCUUGAAAGGCAACUCUUGAAGAAUGACUUUACAAAUUCCUGCCCUAAAUAUAGCUGUACAAUGGGAUCCUGGCAGAAAUGGCAAAGCCUGGUGAUAUCUAAUAUUUCCAGAGGUGCUCAGCAGCUCCUGAGGGAGGCAGGCCUGCGUCUCAGUGACCUUAAUAGUGAAAGGGCCUUAAAAGCACACUCGUGUUGUGCUUUGCUGCUGAUCCCUCCCUGCUCUGCUGUGUGGUUUGGCUUUGCCCCUGUUUCCUGGCAGCUGUGGGUUGGGUGCUUGGAGCUCUGCUCUGGCUUAGCUAUUUUUAAUUAAUUUAUCUUCCUUAAUUUCUAUCAGCUGGGCCGCUGCUCUCCUGCAGCACCUGCUCUCUGGGGCUGGUUUUGUAUGACUGUGCCUACUACCCGAUAGUAAAAUUGCAGCCUACAGCUCCUUUGCCAGCCCCCCGAGGAAGUUCCCUUCCUCUGGAGGUCCUGUAGGA
rnacentral:lncRNA from 1 species